rnacentral:rRNA from 1 species
GUGUCAGCAGCCGCGGUAAUACGUAGGGUGCAAGCGUUGUCCGGAUUUAUUGGGCGUAAAGAGCUCGUAGGCGGUUUGUCGCGUCGGAUGUGAAAACCCAGGGCUCAACCCUGGGCCUGCAUUCGAUACGGGCAAACUAGAGUAUGGCAGGGGAGACUGGAAUUCCUGGUGUAGCGGUGAAAUGCGCAGAUAUCAGGAGGAACACCGGUGGCGAAGGCGGGUCUCUGGGCCAAAACUGACGCUGAGGAGCGAAAGCGUGGGGAGCGAACAGGAUUAGAUACCCUGGUAGUCC